rnacentral:rRNA from 1 species
UACGGGGGGGGCAAGCGUUGUUCGGAAUUACUGGGCGUAAAGGGCUCGUAGGCGGCCAACUAAGUCAGACGUGAAAUCCCUCGGCUUAACCGGGGAACUGCGUCUGAUACUGGAUGGCUUGAGUUUGGGAGAGGGAUGCGGAAUUCCAGGUGUAGCGGUGAAAUGCGUAGAUAUCUGGAGGAACACCGGUGGCGAAGGCGGCAUCCUGGACCAACACUGACGCUGAGAGGCGAAAGCGUGGGGAGCGAACGGG